rnacentral:rRNA from 1 species
AGAGUUUGAUCCUGGCUCAGGACGAACGCUGGCGGCGUGCUUAACACAUGCAAGUCGAGCGGUGAAGCCCUUCGGGGUGGAUCAGCGGCGAACGGGUGAGUAACACGUGAGCAACCUACCCCUGGCACUGGGAUAACCCCGGGAAACCGGGGCUAAUACCGGAUAUGACGCCAUCGGGCAUCCGAUGACGUGGAAAGAAUUUUGGCCAAGGAUGGGCUCACGGCCUAUCAGCUAGUUGGUGGGGUAACGGCCCACCAAGGCGACGACGGGUAGCCGGCCUGAGAGGGCGACCGGCCACACUGGGACUGAGACACGGCCCAGACUCCUACGGGAGGCAGCAGUGGGGAAUAUUGCGCAAUGGGCGAAAGCCUGGCGCAGCAACGCCGCGUGAGGGAUGAAGGCCUUCGGGUUGUAAACCUCUUUCAGCAGGGAAGAAGCGCAAGUGACGGUACCUGCAGAAGAAGCACCGGCUAACUACGUGCCAGCAGCCGCGGUAAUACGUAGGGUGCAAGCGUUGUCCGGAAUUAUUGGGCGUAAAGAGCUCGUAGGCGGUCUGUCGCGUCUGCUGUG